rnacentral:rRNA from 1 species
GACGAACGCUGGCGGCGUGCUUAAUACAUGCAAGUCGAACGGAAAGGCCCUGCUUUUGUGGGGUGCUCGAGUGGCGAACGGGUGAGUAACACGUGAGUAACCUGCCCUUGACUUUGGGAUAACUUCAGGAAACUGGGGCUAAUACCGGAUAGGAGCUCCUGCUGCAUGGUGGGGGUUGGAAAGUUUCGGCGGUUGGGGAUGGACUCGCGGCUUAUCAGCUUGUUGGUGGGGUAGUGGCUUACCAAGGCUUUGACGGGUAGCCGGCCUGAGAGGGUGACCGGCCACAUUGGGACUGAGAUACGGCCCUGACUCCUACGGGAGGCAGCAGUGGGGAAUAUUGCACAAUGGGCGGAAGCCUGAUGCAGCAACGCCGCGUGCGGGAUGACGGCCUUCGGGUUGUAAACCGCUUUCGCCUGUGACGAAGCGUGAGUGACGGUAAUGGGUAAAGAAGCACCGGCUAACUACGUGCCAGCAGCCGCGGUGAUACGUAGGGUGCGAGCGUUGUCCGGAUUUAUUGGGCGUAAAGGGCUCGUAGGUGGUUGAUCGCGUCGGAAGUGUAAUCUUGGGGCUUAACCCUGAGCGUGCUUUCGAUACGGGUUGACUUGAGGAAGGUAGGGGAGAAUGGAAUUCCUGGUGGAGCGGUGGAAUGCGCAGAUAUCAGGAGGAACACCAGUGGCGAAGGCGGUUCUCUGGGCCUUUCCUGACGCUGAGGAGCGAAAGCGUGGGGAGCGAACAGGCUUAGAUACCCUGGUAGUCCACGCUGUAAACGGUGGGUACUAGGUGUGGGGUCCAUUCCACGGGUUCCGUGCCGUAGCUAACGCUUUAAGUACCCCGCCUGGGGAGUACGGCCGCAAGGCUAAAACUCAAAGGAAUUGACGGGGCCCCGCACAAGCGGCGGAGCAUGCGGAUUAAUUCGAUGCAACGCGUAGAACCUUACCUGGGUUUGACAUGGAUCGGGAGUGCUCAGAGAUGGGUGUGCCUCUUUUGGGGUCGGUUCACAGGUGGUGCAUGGCUGUCGUCAGCUCGUGUCGUGAGAUGUUGGGUUAAGUCCCGCAACGAGCGCAACCCUUGUUCACUGUUGCCAGCACGUUAUGGUGGGGACUCAGUGGAGACCGCCGGGGUCAACUCGGAGGAAGGUGGGGAUGACGUCAAGUCAUCAUGCCCCUUAUGUCCAGGGCUUCACGCAUGCUACAAUGGCUGGUACAGAGAGUGGCGAGCCUGUGAGGGUGAGCGAAUCUCGGAAAGCCGGUCUCAGUUCGGAUUGGGGUCUGCAACUCGACCUCAUGAAGUCGGAGUCGCUAGUAAUCGCAGAUCAGCAACGCUGCGGUGAAUACGUUCCCGGGGCU